GUCCGUUUAGCUCAACUGGAAGAGCGCUCGGUCCACACCCGAGAGGCCGCAGGUUCGAUCCCUGCAAUGGACAC
rnacentral:tRNA from 1 species